ACCUUUGGCCAUUUGAUGUGUUUUCAAAAAGCUUACAUAACUCCUUUUAGCUCCACUUUUCUCUAAUUUUUUCAUUCUCUAAAAAGAGUCACACCACUCUAUUUCAAGCCUUGAGAAUAGCUAGGAAGAUCUCUUGGUGGUCCUUCAUUGGAGCCAUUUGAAGAUUUUUUAAGAGCUACAAAGGUUUGUAUUUUUCUCUACUUAUCUCUAAGCAUCAUAAUGUAUGAUCCUGCAUGUUUAAUCCUAGGUUGUAUUAUGCAUCUAGAUUGUUAUUUCGAUUCUUGCUCACUUCCGCUGCGCAUGUAUGUAUUUUCUCCAUCAGGAAUUCCAUAUUUAUGCCUCCCACACAUUUGAUACUAGAUUUCACAUUGUAUGCCCUCGCGUCAUUUCUCCACUGCAGCUCUCUACAUUUUCAGUCUCCCAGCUUCCAUAAAUCACAUGAAUCCCUGAAAUAUCUACAUACCCAAACUAUUAAAAUCUUUACAUAAUAAAAUCGCAAAAUCUUAUUUCGAACUUCCAUCUAACUAAUUUUUAUUCUUAAUAUCAUUCAAACUAUUUUAAAAUAUUGUUAAAUUGUCUCCAAUGUAAUCUAAUUAGAAUGUAUUACAAACCUAACCAAUUCGUUAAUAAAUUCCACAGCAAUCACCAUCUUAAAUAUUCUUACACGAGUUUCAUAAAUUCCCAUUUUCGUUAUAUUGGUUGAGAAUUUAAAUCAAGCAACGCGGGAAUACUAUGCAAUUAUUUGUAGCCACGAUUUUACAUGAUGGAAGCUGGGAGGAGAAGGAUAAUUAUCAAGGGUUCAGUAUUGGGCACGUUUCAAUUCCAUUUGGUUCCACCCUACAACAACUCAUUGCAUACAUCUCUAGAGAUCUUCAUUUUCCAGAAGGUAAGAAAAUUACGCGACUUUCAUUGUUCAAAAAUGGUGCGAGCAAGUCAAUCAUUAUGAGGCUAUCAGUAGAUAGGGAUGCAGUGUGGGCCAUAUCCGUUUUGUCGAAUGUCAUGUGCAGCAACUACUGCAUAGUUGUGGAUACUGACCCCGUAUAUAACACCAUCUACGGGGCAGUGUAAGUGUGAACGUCACUUAGAAUGUAGUUUGCCUUAGGAGGAAGAAAUUUAUUUUCAUGGACCCUAUUGAUUUUGAUUGUGCUCCCUUUAAUUUCUCAUUGAAAGAAUUAUGUAUUUUUCAAAAUAAGGAAGAAUUGCAGUUUAAAACAAUCAAAUCAAACUAGAAACAACUGUUUGUAAGGUGAAUCGAAGAAACAUGCAAGUGGUAUAUUCGCUCCUCUCGAUAUGGCAACGAUAAAUUAUGGAUUGUUAGAAAACUUGUACCGAAGAACACAUGUUCAAUUGAUGAUAUUCGCAAUGACUAUACAACGAUAAGUGGAUGUGCGAAGACAAUGUUAAGCAUGAACAACAGGAGACAUUGUAGUCCACGUGACACAUAAUUGAUUACGUUAGGAAGAAGCAUGAAAUCAAUAUUAGUUAUGACAAAGCCUAGAGAGGAAGGGAGAAAGCUUUAAACUCAUUAAGGGGAUCACCUGAAUAGUCGUAUGCUCUCAUCCCGUCGUUUGCAGCUAGGCUGAUCAAGAAAAUCAUGAUACCACGUGUAUCUUUACUGACUCUGUCUUUAUUCUGUCUAUACGCGUAUUUAUCCUAUAUAUGUUUGCAGGGACGUACACAACCCACGAGAUUUAUGGUGAUGGGAGCUUUAAAUUUUUCUUUAUGAGUUUGGCAGCAUCAAUAGAUAGAUGGAAACACUGCCUUCAAGUAUUUUCUAUUGAUAACACAUCCCUAAAAAUAAAUUCCAGGGCACUCUAAUGACGACCUGUACUUUUGAUGGGAACUCCCAAAUAUACCGAUUGGGUUUCGCUAUUGUUAACUCAGAGAAUGAUGCAUCUCGGGAAUGAUGUUUUUUAAAUAUGAAGGUAGCAUUUGGAGAACCGGAAGAUUUAGUUAUAGUGUUCGAUCGACAUAGUAGCAUAUGGAAGGAAGUAAACAAUGUAUACGAUUCUGCACAGUAUGGUAUUUGUGUAUUUCAUUUAUUAAAAGACCUUAAACAACAACAUAGAUGUAAACCUAUUGACCGUUUAUUUCACAUAUGUGCGAACUCAUAUACAUCUGAUGUUUUUGAAUUUUAUAUGAGACAAUUGGAAUAGAUAGUACCACCUAUUACAAGAAAUAGGCUAUCAUAAUUGGACUCGUGCAUUCUCUAUGGAGAACCGCUAUGCCUUAUUGACAAUAAAUAUUUCUGAGAGUUUGAACUCCAUCCUAAAAGAAGCUAAUGAGUUUCCAGUUAUAUAUCUUUUAGAGUAUAUCAGAGAUCUUUUGCAAAAGUGGUUUUAUCCGCGGAUGUCGUUUUCUAAUUUUUAACAAGUACAUAUCAGGCCAUGAACUGCGAAAGUACUACGCUCCAUACUUGAAAGGGAGUCGCACAAUAGAUGUAUACUCAGUUAAUGAUCAUCAGUUCAGAAUCCAAGUACGAAGCAAGCAAUAUGAAGUUAAUAUUCUUAACCGUACAUGCACAUGUAGACAAUCAGACUUAAACUUGAUCCCAUGCCCACAUGCAUGUCUUGCUAUUGGUCGGAGAGUGUUGAAUUUAAAUAUGUUUGUUUAUGAUUUCUAUGAAGUGUCAACAUUGUAAUUACUAUAUUAGAGCAACAUACAUCCAAUUGGUCAAACUUACAACAUGACCUCAACAUUUGGUCAACACGAGACAUACAUCAUACCUCCAAACUUAAAGUGUUCUGUUGGUAGGCCACGAAAAAAGAGACUUCUUGCUCCUAUUGAAAAGAGGUCGACAGUAAAGUGUGGUAGAUGUGGUUGGUUAUGACACAAUCGGAGACGGUGUAAGAACUCAAUCUGACAUUAAUUUGCCUAUUCUCAUUUGUAAGCUUUACUGCCUAUUUGAUAAUAAACAGUAAGGGUUAUUUUGUUA